rnacentral:rRNA from 1 species
GACGAACGCUGGCGGCGUGCUUAACACAUGCAAGUCGAACGCUGAAGCUCAGCUUUUGUUGGGUGGAUGAGUGGCGAACGGGUGAGUAACACGUGAGUAACCUGCCUCCUUCUUUGGGAUAACGCCCGGAAACGGGUGCUAAUACUGGAUAUUCACUGGUCUUCGCAUGGGGGUUGGUGGAAAGGGUUUUUCUGGUGGGGGAUGGGCUCGCGGCCUAUCAGCUUGUUGGUGGGGUGAUGGCCUACCAAGGCUUUGACGGGUAGCCGGCCUGAGAGGGUGACCGGUCACAUUGGGACUGAGAUACGGCCCAGACUCCUACGGGAGGCAGCAGUGGGGAAUAUUGCACCAUGGGCGCAAGCCUGAUGCAGCGACGCCGCGUGAGGGAUGGAGGCCUUCGGGUUGUGAACCUCUUUCGCUCAUGGUCAAGCCGCAACAAUGGUUGUGGUGAGGGUAGUGGGUAAAGAAGCGCCGGCUAACUACGUG